CUCAGUCCCUCUAAAAAAAAUUUCCUGUUGCAGAUCUAUACGAAGAUGAAAACUGAUUUUGAAGUUUUUUGUUUUACAAAGUAUCUAUCAAAACAAAGACGAAUCUGGGUACUAAAACAACAACGACAAUAUGUGUGACAAUAUAAAUUAUGGUUCUACAUCUUCUUAUAGGAAAACAAAAAGUUAAACAUAUGGACAAUUUCUUAACAUUUUUUUUUUCACUUCUUUUGAUUUUUAUUAAUUUUUCUCUCUUUUU